rnacentral:rRNA from 1 species
GGGGAAUCUUGCGCAAUGGGCGAAAGCCUGACGCAGCGACGCCGUGUGUGUGAUGAAGGUUUUCGGAUCGUAAAGCACUGUCGCCCGGGACAAAUCAAUGAUGGUACCGGGAGAGGAAGCACCGGCUAACUCUGUGCCAGCAGCCGCGGUAAUACAGAGGGUGCGAGCGUUGUUCGGAAUUAUUGGGCGUAAAGCGCUGGUAGGUGGCUUGUUAAGUCGCGUGUGAAAUCUCCAGGCUCAACCUGGAAAGUGCGCGCGAAACUGGCGAGCUUGAGUGCCGGAGAGGGUCGCGGAAUUCCCGGUGUAGAGGUGAAAUUCGUAGAUAUCGGGAGGAACACCAGAGGCGAAGGCGGCGACCUGGAAGGUAACUGACACUGAGCAGCGAAAGCGUGGGGAGCAAAC